UACGUAGGGGGGCUAGCGUUGUCCGGAAUCAUUGGGCGUAAAGCGCGCGUAGGCGGCCAGAUAAGUCCGGUGUGAAAGUCACAGGCUCAACCUGUGAAUGCCGCUGGAAACUGUCUGGCUUGAGUCCGGAAGAGGAGGGUGGAAUACCCAGUGUAGAGGUGAAAUUCGUAGAUAUUGGGUGGAACACCGGUGGCGAAAGCGGCUCUCUGGUCCGGACCUGACGCUGAGGCGCGAAAGCGUGGGGAGCAAACAGG
rnacentral:rRNA from 1 species